rfam:Symbiobacterium thermophilum isolate G2 contig00910, whole genome shotgun sequence.
GGGACCUGCACUCGUUGCGGAGCAACGAUGGUGAAGGA